GUACGAGAGGCUGGGUCUCAGGUACAACAUCUACUUGGCAUGCAGAAGGUCCCAGGUUCAAUCCCUGGCUUCUCUACU
rnacentral:tRNA from 1 species